rnacentral:lncRNA from 1 species
GUAUGCGUUACGCUUCGAAUUUGUCUCGGUGGACGAGCGAAUCGAGCGCGGCGGACCAGGCGAAAUAACGAACGAUGGGAGACGUAUACCGCUGGCUAGAGGCGAGUCGCGAGAAUAAAGCGCGAGUCGGCCGAGAUCGAGCGAGCAUCUUCGACGGCCUAGUUAGGGAAGGCUUGAACGGCCGCGGCGCGACGACGUUCGAGCUCCCCCCGCGUUCUCUCCACGAGCUCUCGGGUCCUGACCCUCGUACGAGAGAGUGAAGCACAUGGCCACGGCUUUUAGCUCGCGAGUUAUCCCCUUACGUAACAAUUACGCUCGAUCGCUACGGAGAGGUUGCGAACGCGCGCGCUCGCUCGAACGCUCGUUCAACCGACACUCGCCAACCAUGAACGCGACCCCCUUCCUUCUAUCCUUCAGCCCUCCGAUGGGAAACGUUACCCCUCUUGAGCGCAGUACCUACUGCGACUCGCCUAUACAGGCACCCAACUUCUACACCUCGAGUAACUUUUAAAGUAUACGUUAUAGGAGAAACUUCUAUGAUUCGAAGAAACACGUUACGCGGUCUAUCGUUAUUGCUAAACUUCCGAAACGUAUUUUUUGUCGAAGCCAUGGCAGCUCACUAGGUCAGUUCGUGAUGGAGGAAAAUAUCGUAUACGUGUAAGUUUGCAAAUAUUUUUUUUACUUGGAUAUCGAUUCAGUUGUUUGAACGCCUUAAAAUGCGUUUGAAAUUUUAUGCGUUGAUCGAUUUAUCGGAGGUCGUCACGCAAUCCCUUCGAGCAUGAUAAGUUGACGUUUCUGGUGAAAAUUUUCCUCUAUUUAUUGAAUACCAGAGAAAAAGAUUGAUCCGUGAACUUGUAAUCAGGGUCAAAUUUUUCUGUGUAUACUGGAUGACGCAUAAAAAAACAUCGUACAUCGGAUUAGCGAAGAUUCGGCUCGCUAUCGGCCGAAAGGUGGUGUCUAAUCAAUUUUACGGCCUAUGUUUAGGUAUAUCUCGAACAGAAAGAUAGAUAAAUAUAGCCCGGAAUGUCGAAAUUUAACGAUAAAUAAGAAUCGUACAACGCACACGCGACGAUAUUGCGGUACACGAUCGUAAAUUUCUUUCGGUUGGCUACGUUCGUCUAAUAGCUGGUCACGAACAGAAGAAGUAGUCUUUCCGCUCUCGUAAAAGCGCUGGCAUUGAUCAUGAAGCGCCAAGAACAAUGUAAAAGAGUUAAGUAUGUAGAUAGAGUGUUGAGGUUCGUCGAGAAAUAAAUGGGUUAUCGGGAAGGUUAAGGCUGUUCGCGAGUCGCGAUGCUCGCUCGGAAAGAUCGAGACGAGAACCGCGAACGGAGGCUUAAUCGCGCGCAUGUAAAUGAGCCGCCAAGGAUUUUCGCAGACGAGGGAAACGGAUAAACGGGAAAGAUUCCGCGCGGAGGGAACGCAACGCAGAAGCAAGACACGCGUACUGCCGGCUCGAGACGUUUAUCGGCAAUGUCGUAACUAGUAGGUGGAUUAAGCAAAGAAGCUACCGUCGUGGAUCGGUAAUUCUCAUGGCAGCGAAGGCGUUAAUUGCAAGAAUUUGACGGAUCCCACGAGUACGAAACAACAAGACACAGUGCCUACCGUGUAAGUGUGACUGGUCUACUCGUGAAUAGACGCAGCUCGUGAGUUACGUAACAAGAUUCGCAACGACAAACAGCGCUCCUCCUCGUCGAGUUUUACCCUCCAGUCGAGAAUUGAUCGAUCGCGCGAUUCGAACGCGUGGACUUGGUCGCGCGAUCGCUUCGCGUCAUGCGUUGCGUCGCGUCGGAUGUUCAUGAGGAUGCAAGGUAGAAAAUUUUCAGCGAAUUAGCGAGCCAGCGUGUAGGCGCUUUAUAUCUCGGACCUCGACGUUUCGUCACGUUUCACUUGACGUUUACGCCGUUUUCAGCGGCGAGUCCCGUGACCAGGAACACGACUGACCACGAUCGAAAUUCGAUAUCGAGAAAUCCUUCCCGACACCUCCGCGUCGCGUACAUUUUUCUUGGUUGAAUGAUCCAACUUGUAAACAAAUGAAGGAUCCGAUAAUGAACAUCGAUGGAAAUUCAAGUACAGCCAGUGGCUUAACUAAGCGGGGUUCAAGGUGUCUGCUCCCUAAUAAUUAUAAGUUAGUGGAACGUUCAAAAUAUACGACGAUUCAAAACGGGAGUAACUAAUUCUGACAGAUUAUUACUCGUGCCGCUUCACGGUAUAACGUAGGAAAUGAUUCUUGCGAAAUCCGAAUGAAAAGGAAUCUUUAACCAUCCAUUGAGAUUUCGAUACUUUCGAGAGAAAAUACUUUUAUAAAGUAUUUAAUAAAAUGUAAAAAUUAGUUCGUGAAGGAGUUAAAUGAAACUGGUAUAAAUAAUGAGCUGUUGAUGCAAUAGAUCCAAUCACAAUCAAUAUUUAUUACAGAAACUUGAUAUACUUCUUUACUUUAUUUCCUAACAAUUACCUUUUCUUCGUGUUGCCUAACAUAUAUCUUGAAAAUAAUAUCAUCAUUAAACGGUAGGAAGAGUUGUUGACUGAAAAGCGUCGUAGAAUCGUUUUAAUCUGUUUGGAAAGUCUAAGAGCGAAACAACCCAGCAGCUUUACCGCGUUCGAUUUCGGAGUAACAGGUGCAGAGAUAGCUGCCCCUUUAAAGCGUGUAAUAUAAACGCUCGGGUUCGGAAGUGUCAUUACGCUUAUUCUUCAAUUUACAAACCUCUUCUGGUAAACACCUAACGUCUAGAAAUUUUUGUUCCGACAAUACGUUACGCGAGAACAAAUAUGUUGCGAAAGUCGCUCGAAAAUACUUGCCGUAGAAGAUACAAAAGCUAUCGUUUGAUCGAACAACCGACAGAAUACAAAACAAGCGGCCGUUGUACAAAUAUCGUCAACCUGCCUCGGCAAGUAAGCCGUGUCGGUUAAACAGAUCCGUUGUUACCAACAAUUUGUUAUAACUUGUUAACAAAGUAUUGUUAUAAGCCUUAUGUUUAUGUAACAAUCGUAGAACGUACUCUCAUGGCAUAACGCGAAAAUCCUGGAACACCCUGUACAAGUCGAUACACGCAAAUCGAAGCCACGAGUCGAUAACGAGAGAUAAAGCACAAAUUUUCGACGCACCUUUCCGGCGAAAGUUUUGAAACGACACACGAUCGGCACUACACACUGACACUUAUUCACGCAAACGUUGCACGAGCACUGGCAAGUUUCGUCGUCGCGAGAACGAGCGCACUUCUGGUUGCACUUGCUGCAACGGCCGCGCGAGCGUUUGCGUCGCCAAUUCGUCAUUCAGCCAUUCUCGAUUAGCGAAUCGCGAUUUCGAUCGCAUCUCGCAUGUUUCCCUCGCUUUUGCCGAUGCUAGCACACGGAUGGGCAGCUGUGCCCGCGAGGACACGGUGCACGGAUGUACAACCGAAGCGCAUCCGUGCCCACCAAUUUCGCAAAUUCAAUUUUACUAAAAAAUUUCAACGUUUGCUACGACAGUGCGGUUACCUUGUGUUUCGAUGGAAGAAUCAACUAUGAAACGGCCAUUCGCGGUUAUCGACCGAUAAGUAAAGAUACGGUUCGCGAUAUUCGAUUCGGUUUCAUAAAGUAACUCAAAAUUUUACAUUCGUAUACACGCGUGUGUUGGAAUUUAAUUACCGAUCAUUAAUGAAUUUGCAAGUAUAAUACACUGUUUAGUAUUCAAACUGUGCUAGAAUAUUAGAUCACAACAUACGGAAUUUCUUUAUAACCGUGUUACGUUACCAGCUGUUUCGCAAAAACUGUUAUACCGUGGGAUUUCUCGUGGGUCAAUGGUACCAUAAGUUCAGAAAACUUUGACCCGAAACCGGAAAGCUUUUAUUUAAGAGUAAUUCAAUUUUGACACGAAAAAACACAGGAAUAAUUAAGUAAGACUCACCGAGUUGUUCGAGAAGGGAGCGGUUGUUACGCAUACGCGACCAUUGACUCGCAAAAAAUUUCAACUUAACGAAUGCUGUUCGCGCGACGUUGCGGAAACAAAGUUCUGUCGCGAAGUUUUAUACGCGAUCAUGUAUUCCGCGAAAUUCUUACUGUCCCGACUUUGAUUAUCGAUAUCGAACUACGGCAACUUUCGAUUACAUUUUUAUACAGAAAUCAGGUGUCAAAAAAUUGUAACACAUCGACGAUCGAACGUAAAAUACGACUUAUCGAACUAAUGUCACAUAAACGAAUAUUUCCCACUGAUUCGAAGAACGCGUACAAUAUCGAUCAAAUGGUUAUCAUCGAAAUACAGGGAACAGCCUUUAACGAGAAUUAACUCGAUACAGAAAAGAACGCGGUAUCGAUUCACAGUCAAUAUUGGAAUCAACGAUAUCUAUUAGCAAGUCGUGGAGUUGAAAUAUUCGAAUACCACCGACAUUUGAAUUCGAAAUCAAAAUCCGAAGUGGUUUAAUUAAUCAGUGAAACCGCACGCGUCCAAGAUUAAAACUCGUUAAAUCUUACGUACUUCCAUCAAAUUAUGAUACGAUUAAUCCACUGACUCGAUAUCGGCUUAAUCUCUUCAACUCUCGACGAAGAAGAAACGAACUGGAGACACGCUUCGAACACGUUCGACGGCAAACGAUCAUUAAAGAAAUCAGCCGCGAGCCGCGAGGUUUCGCACGAGUCGGCUCGCGAUCCACUAAAAACACGUCGCUAGUCGCAGAAUUAUCUUUGCCACUCGAAGAUAAACUAGGAAGUUACGAAAUUCGACGUAACGUACUUUCGAACUCGUCCCACGUCGUUGCUCCGUCGACGAAACCGAGUCAUCGAAAGAAAAAUAGAAAGAAUAAUAACGAAAAAAUAGAUAAAGGGAACGAUGACGGGAAAUAUAUACGGAAUAGAUAACGAAUUAGACAAACAAGAGAACGAAACCGAGAGAGAGAGAGGAAUGGAAGAAAGAGAAGGGAUAGAUGAUGCGGGAGAGUUGUCUUCCGGUCGGCUGAAACGAAAAUACCCCAACUGCUCCCCCUUUUCGUGAGUUUUCGCGACACUCUAGUCUGGAGUUCGAUGUCCUGCUUUUAUCGAAAUCCGUGCGACACGCGCCACUCUGAAUUUCUGCCAGUUUCGCCAGGGAUUUAUGAAUUCCAGCAUUUCGUCGUUUGCCUUUCAUCGAUAUCUGGCACCAAAUUUUUCUACCGAACAUUAUAUUCGUUAAUUUAUAAAUACGUGCUCACAAAACUGUCUCGAUAAAUAUGUAACUUUUUCCUGUUCAUCCCCUAAUCUUUGCUCCUGGCGUUUCCGAGGACGCGCGAACUGUACGGACGUUUACUCCCUCGAGAUUAAACUAAUCUCCCUUAGGGAUCAAGAUAAGAAUGUCCCCUUUUAUGACCGUUUACGACGUCGAUAUCGGAAAAAACUUGGUUUCUUCGGACAGGAAGUUUCGCAAAAAUUUCAGCAUUUUGUUACCGCGAUUGUCUGAAACUUCCAAAAUUGCUUCUUCUACAAGGAACACUUAUUAACACAUAUUAUGCGGAUGUUACGUAAAUAGUGAAAUCAAUAGAAUAAUCUAGAGUGUAUCGGAUGAAAACACAAUAAUUGAGAUUUUUCUCGAUAUCUGGGACAAGUGUAUUUUGGCGGGUCGUUAACCCAUUUCCGAAGGUAGAAAACAAAGAUGAAAGGAAAACUGUAGGUAUAGCGGGUCGAAAUGGCACCAGUGGCUCGUAUAUCGUGGACGACUUUAAAAA